AUUCUUUUGUGCCUCAUAAUCCUGACAAUUGGGUUUUCACACCAUUAUGUGAGAUAUGACUUCCUCAAACCUUGUUGGGAAAUGUGCACAGAGCCCCUCAGACG